rnacentral:rRNA from 1 species
GUCUGCGCGUUAUUGUCGAUGUGCAGUCUGGCCUGCCCCCUGAAGUUUAAAGGGCCGCGGUAUUUGAACCGUGCUAAGGUAGCAUAAUAAGUAGUCUCUUAAUUGGAGUCUAGUAUGAAUGGUCGGACAUGAAGUAAGCUGUUUCAACUAUAAAAUUUGAAUUUUACUUUUAAGUGAAAAGGCUUAAAUUUUCUGGAGGGACGAUAAGACCCUAUAAAGCUUUACAUUUUAUUUGCAAGUUGUUGGGUUUUAGUUCCCUAUUCUUAUCAAAUAAAUUGUUUCGUUGGGGCGACGAAAAUAUAAGAGUAACUGUUCGUUCACAAAAAAUAGGUUUUUUUAGGAGAAUUGAUCCUUUGUAGAGAUUAAAAGAAUUAAGUUACUUUAGGGAUAACAGCGUGAUUUUUCUUGAGAGUUCAUAUCGACAGAUAUAGUUGCGACCUCGAUGUUGAAUUAAAAUGCCCCCAAGGUGUAGCAGCUUUGGCGGUAGGUCUGUUCGACCUUUAAAAUUUUACAUGAUUUGAGUUCAGACCGGCGUG